AGAACGAACGCUGGCGGCAGGCCUAACACAUGCAAGUCGAGCGGAUCCUUCGGGAUUAGCGGCGGACGGGUGAGUAACGCGUGGGAACAUACCCUUUGGUACGGAAUAGCCUCGGGAAACUGAGAGUAAUACCGUAUGUGCCCUUCGGGGGAAAGAUUUAUCGCCAAAGGAUUGGCCCGCGUUGGAUUAGGUAGUUGGUGGGGUAAUGGCCUACCAAGCCGACGAUCCAUAGCUGGUUUGAGAGGAUGAUCAGCCACACUGGGACUGAGACACGGCCAGACUCCUACGGGAGGCAGCAGUGGGAAUCUUAGACAAUGGGGGAAACCCUGAUCUAGCCAUGCCGCGUGAUCGAUGAAGGCCUUAGGGUGUAAAGAUCUUUCAGGUGGGAAGAUAAUGACGGUACCACAAGAAGAACGCCCCGGACUAACCUCCGUGCCAGCAGCCGAC
rnacentral:rRNA from 1 species